AGGCACAUGAAUGUCAGAGCAGAAACUGAGGUCACGUGGGAGAGACACAGGCACACAAAUGAAGGAUCAGUCCCUGCAGUCACCUGAGCAGGGUUGCAGCAUAUAAUGGAACCCUUACCUGGACAGACACCAACCCCUGGGCAAUCGAAUCAGUCUCCCUGAGAUCUUCUCUGCUGUGUGUCCUUGAAGAGCCAGCUUCAUUGACAAACUGAACUUUAUGGGCCCAAGGACUGAGUGCAUCUUCCUCUUGGUAGUAAUGGUUGAGUUAAUGUGUAAAGUCAAUAAAUGGCUGUUUUAUUCACUUGUUACUA